AUUGAACGCUGGCGGCAGGCCUAACACAUGCAAGUCGAGCGGAUGAAGGGAGCUUGCCCCUGGAUUCAGCGGCGGACGGGUGAGUAAUGCCUAGGAAUCUGCCUGGUAGUGGGGGAUAACGUCCGGAAACGGGCGCUAAUACCGCACACGUCCUGAGGGAGAAAGUGGGGGAUCUUCGGACCUCUCGCUAUCAGAUGAUCCUAGGUCGGAUUAGCUAGUUGGUGGGGUAAAGGCCUACCAAGGCGACGAUCCGUAACUGGUCUGAGAGGAUGAUCAGUCACACUGGAACUGAGACACGGUCCAGACUCCUACGGGAGGCAGCAGUGGGGAAUAUUGGACAAUGGGCGAAAGCCUGAUCCAGCCAUGCCGCGUGUGUGAAGAAGGUCUUCGGAUUGUAAAGCACUUUAAGUUGGGAGGAAGGGCAGUAAGUUAAUACCUUGCUGUUUUGACGUUACCAACAGAAUAAGCACCGGCUAACUUCGUG
rnacentral:rRNA from 1 species